rnacentral:ncRNA from 1 species
CUACACGUAUUGAUAAGGACAUGAAGCAUUGAUACCGGCUUUAUAAGAGAGGAGAGCCCAGGCUGAAAGCUUUCCAGCUAUGGAUCAUUGUCUUUACCGCCUUUGAACUUCAGCUGUGAACGCCGGAAUAAGCGCCAGUAAUAGCUGACGGGAACUCCCGUUACAGAGCUUAGAGCCGCAGUGCCGAAGCAAUCGGCCGCGCGGAAAAAAGGGUGGAACCACGAUUCCGUUUAUUUAACCUCGUCCCUUUC